rnacentral:rRNA from 1 species
GAUGAACGCUGGCGGCGUGCCUAAUACAUGCAAGUCGAGCGAACGGACGAGAAGCUUGCUUCUCUGAUGUUAGCGGCGGACGGGUGAGUAACACGUGGAUAACCUACCUAUAAGACUGGGAUAACUUCGGGAAACCGGAGCUAAUACCGGAUAAUAUUUUGCACCGCAUGGUUCAAAAGUGAAAGACGGUCUUGCUGUCACUUAUAGAUGGAUCCGCGCUGCAUUAGCUAGUUGGUAAGGUAACGGCUUACCAAGGCAACGAUGCAUAGCCGACCUGAGAGGGUGAUCGGCCACACUGGAACUGAGACACGGUCCAGGCUCCUACGGGAGGCCGCAGUAGGGAAUCUUCCGCAAUGGGCGAAAGCCUGACGGAGCAAGGCCGCGUGAGUGAUGAAGGUCUUCGGAUCGUAAAACUCUGUUAUUAGGGAAGAACAUAUGUGUAAGUAACUGUGCACAGCUUGACGGUACCUAAUCAGAAAGCCACGGCUAACUACGUG